CAUGCGUCCAUGAAGUCACUGGCCUCAAGCCCAAGUGGUGGGCAGUGACAGAAGAGCUGC
rfam:Mus musculus thioredoxin reductase 1 (Txnrd1) mRNA, complete cds, alternatively spliced.